AUACGUAGGUGACAAGCGUUAUCCGGAUUUACUGGGCGUAAAGGGCGUGUAGGCGGUCUUGCAAGUCAGAAGUGAAAUUCCUGAGCUCAACUCGGGCGCUGCUUCUGAAACUGCAGGACUUGAGUGCUGGAGGGGAUAGCGGAAUUCCUAGUGUAGCGGUGAAAUGCGUAGAUAUUAGGAGGAACACCAGUGGCGAAGGCGGCCUGCUGGACGACAACUGACGCUGAGGCGCGAAAGCGUGGGGAGCAAACAGGAUUAGAUACCCUGGUAGUCCACGCUGUAAACGAUGAAUACUAGGUGUGGGGGGACUGACCCCCUCCGUGCCGCAGUUAACACAAUAAGUAUUCCACCUGGGGAGUACGAUCGCAAGAUUGAAACUCAAAGGAAUUGACGGGG
rnacentral:rRNA from 1 species